CUAGGGUCAAAGAAGGAGAAAUAAUUCAAAACAGAACAUGCAAAUUGGCACAAAUCAAGUUCAAUCAAAUUAGAACAAUGUCCAAGUGGUCUCACAUUCAUAUCACACACCAAUUUCAUUUCAUGAAGCAUUUAGUGCAAAGCAUGCAAUUUCAAAGCUCAUUGGACCAAACAGAAUGAAUCAAUCCAAAUCCACUCAAACAUAAUUCAAUAAAUCCCAGGAAAACUCAUGGCUAAACAGCAUUCAUAACAUGAACAU
rnacentral:lncRNA from 1 species